CCCAUGCUCAUUUCAGACUAGUAAUUCAUACGGCAAUUCUCUGUUCCUUAAAUAAACUUUUUUCUGGGUCCUCACACUUAGAAAUGCAUAUGUUUUAGGUUUAUCUAAUCUUCUUCAAGAAAAAAAAUCUUCAGGAAGUGAUAUCCAGGUUCCAGUUAAUGGUAUCAGGUAAAAAAGGGGGGAUUUUACCAAUUUUACGUUUCUCCUGAGGUCUCAUUCAGCCUCCACGGUCUUACGUAAGCCCCCACCCCCCAAUGUGGGUUCUAAACGUCUAAACACACCAGGCUUAAGACGCCUC